AGCGAACGCUGGCGGCAGGCUUAACACAUGCAAGUCGAGCGGGCACUUUCGGGUGUCAGCGGCGGACGGGUGAGUAACGCGUGGGAACGUGCCCCCUGGUUCGGAAUAACUCAGGGAAACUUGAGCUAAUACCGGAUACGCCCUUUUGGGGAAAGGCUUGCUGCCGGAGGAUCGGCCCGCGUCUGAUUAGCUAGUUGGUGAGGUAACGGCUCACCAAGGCGACGAUCAGUAGCUGGUCUGAGAGGAUGAUCAGCCACACUGGGACUGAGACACGGCCCAGACUCCUACGGGAGGCAGCAGUGGGGAAUAUUGGACAAUGGGCGCAAGCCUGAUCCAGCCAUGCCGCGCGAGUGAUGAAGGCCUUAGGGUUGUAAAGCUCUUUUAUCCGGGACGAUAAUGACGGUACCGGAGGAAUAAGCCCCGGCUAACUUCGUG
rnacentral:rRNA from 1 species